GUAAAUAAAACUAAAAAUACAAAUAGAAUGAUUGUGGGAGCUAUAGAAGAGUUAAACCAGUAAACAAGCCAGUAAACCUGUUUCAAAUUUGUGAAAUGUUAGUAUACCUGACUAGCAUUUAUCAUGUGAUUUCCCUGUCGAUGCAUGGCAGUUUGUUUGUACUAUUAUGUAAAGUUUUUCUUGUUUGCAGAUUUGAGGCCAAAGCCAGCCAUCACAACAACACAAUAUGCAAGUUUUCUUGUAAACUGUCAUCCUCAACAAUCUCAGGAUCAUCGCUAGGGUUCCUUUACUUUUACUAACCUGUGAGACCUGAUAUUUUGAUAAAAAGCAUCCCAUUGCAUUGGUAAAACUACCGGUGUCCAUCGAGUUACGGAUCUCUCUGUUUCCCCUUUCUUUAAAUGUACUCGUGUACGCCCAUGUGAAUGUGGGUGUAUUCACGAGGACACCCUUUACCCUAUCCUGUCUGGUGUAGGCUAAUUUAACUCUUCAGUGGAUGGAUGGAGCAACUGUAGAUGCCUGGCUGUAUUUCCCAGGCAUAAAGGUAGGACAAAAUUGAUCCCUUUUCUUCCUUUUUGACAAUUUUUGGCGGCGUUGAUUAUAAGUCGUUAGGCUACUUAGUCACAUAGGAACGUUUAUUCCUGAACUAGGCGGUUGACUGCAACUGUUUUCUCUCUCCGUUUUCGUUUUUUUCUCAGUAAAGAUUUACUAAAAAUCUCAUUUGUCGAACGACUGCAGAUCAGACUUGUUUUGUACCUCACAAUUUUUUUACCAAGAGGGACCUGCCUCAACGCCGGCACCUCCUCGUUGUUAAAAAGAAAAAAAUGUUGCGCUUAAUUCUCGUACCUAUAUUUCUCCGCUUCUGCCGGGCGACGAACAGUGGCAUCCAAUUCUUUUUCCUUGCGGAUGAUUUCCUGCUCUUGGACCAGAAUCUGUUGAGUGCGUUCCACCACUUGAAUCUGCAUCUCUUCUUCACGCAACUGUUGUUUAAUUUUGGCAGCUUGAAGUUCGUAAGCGAGUUCGGCUUCCGCUUUCUUUAUGUAGGCACCAUUGAAUGUAUAUUAUUUAAGGGUUUAGCUAUUCGCCAUUUUACCUUUGCGUUGACUUCCUUGUCAUAGGCAGCUUUCUUGACUUCGAAAUCUCGUUGAGCUUUGGCAAUUUGAAUGUCGUUCUCCAAACGUGAGGCCAUGCGCUGCUCUUCGGCGAUGGCCUCUUUAAUUUGGGCAUCAGAUUUCGCUUGGGCUUCUCCGAUUCUCGCGUCUCUUUUGACUUCUGCCGUCCUCCCCAUACCUAGUGCCAUCAAAUAGCCCUGACAGCAAAAAACAAGAAUUAUGAAUUUAAAUAUAGGAUCUGUGGUGUAGUGAUAAGAGUUAAUGGAUGUCGUGUUACGUGUGCAUCGGAAAUAUCUUUUAUGGUGUAGGAGACGACGGUGAUUCCCAUGUUGACCAAAUCGGACGAAGCCACUUUGAAAACUUGUUCACUAAAUUUCUUGCGAUCUCGAUAGAUUUCCUGCGUGUUGCAAUAAUGCCGAUAAAGAAUAGCUAAAUUCAAGUUGAUAUAAAACCCAAUAUACUUCGACACUCAUGGUCCCCAUUAUUGCGCGUUGAUGACCUUCCAUAGUUUCAUGAGCGAUGUGUCGAAUUUCUUCUUCGCUCUUGCCGAGGAACUGUUCGCAAGCAACUAAAAGCAUUUCCUUAUUUUGACCCUGUACCUUUACCUAGUGGAUGUAACUUAGAUGAAUUAUUAAAAUUAAGAAAGCACUAUUACGCUGAUCAUUAAGUACUCUAUAGUGAAACUAACUAAAUAAUGUAAAGCAGUCUGCAUGGAAAUCAUUUAAUCAUACCUGAGCAAUGCCAGUUACUGAAAUGGGAACACCUUCGACGGUAUAUACAGACGGACUCUCAACUUUGAGAGUCAUCGUAUUCAACGUUAUCCUGUAUUAAAGAAAACGUCAGUUUAUCCGCAUCAAUUCAUUUCAAAAUAUUUUCAGGCUAUUCUUUCAAUAUGCGCUAAUGUCUAUACGUAUACACAUUACCUCUGAAGUUGCUGAAGGCAAGGCCAUACAAAGACACGGCCACCAGCGACGAGGAGCGGGUUGCGAUUGUAGCAGCAUCCUGUUCGUAUAAUACGCAAAGACAUUUUUUUAAUUCGAAAAACUGAAUCCGGCAAGUAAAAUUUGUUUUUUAAUAAAGCGUUUUAUGCAUAGUAACUAAGUUAUUGAGCUUUUCUGUCAUGAAAUAGAAUUCGGUAGAAAAUGAAGACAAUAAUUUGAAAAUUAAUUAGAAUGCCAACAAAUUCAUGAAGAUUUGAAAAAUUAAUUUCACUUUUUGGUUAGCAACUAAAUGCAGCCAUCAAGUGUUACAAUUACAAAUCGCACGUUCACAAACAAAUAUUGACAGAUGCCAUAUGCUCUUUAACAUCCGUAGAUAAUAAACAAUAAGCGAGCUGAUAAGAAGUUUUAAAAGUCACGUUUGUUCAAUGAAAAUACUAUUUUAAAUGAAAUAAAAUAUCCAAAGUUUACAUUCAUUUAAACUGUCAUAAAAAGUCCUGGACUCUUAUUUGGAUCAAUAACAGUUUCACAAAAUCACUGAGUACAGGCCUAGUCUUAAAGUAUACGGACACAAUGCACGAUCUAAUAACGAUUUCGGUUAAGGUUAGAAGUUAGUUAAGGCGAGAAUAUAGCUCAGUACCUGAAACUACUAGCGCUUCGUUGGGCCCACACGUCACGAAUCCCAUUCUCAGCCACUUGAAAACUAGCACUAAUAGUUUUUUCUCGCUCCCGCGUGACUUUUCAACUCUAACUUGAGUUGCACCACGACUGAGAGCGAAGACUUUCCCAAACUGAGAUAAUAACUUCACCGAUCCAAGUUCCACUGAUAAGGUGAUGAGAAUAAGCCAUUGCAUUACGGGCUAUAUAUGUGUGAUACUAUUACAGAACUCGUGUACGGACUUUAGUUGUAAAUGGUGUCACUCUGACAUAGUCUGCGUUUCAUGAAUAUGACGAGAAAGAUCGCAAUCAUAAGUGGCGUAACUUAAUGCGCAUCAUUGUGUUGCUUAGCUACACGGGAAACGCGCAACAUAAUUUACGCAUUGAUGCGUGCGGUCUCCAGAGUGCUCGAUAAAUGACUUUCUUGCAUACAUAGUAACUUGCCGGGAAAAAUCGAUUCAUUUCUACCCCGCCCUUGCCCGCUUGCUGGUGCAUAUAACUCACGAUCAGCUGUUAUAUUGAAAUUUUAAUAAUCAUCCAUUGUCAUUAUUACGCGUGUGUAUUCUUAGCUAUUGAGCAUUGCCGUUUUAGAUUGAUGGAUGAUUGUCAAACGAUGAGUUUCCCUGCAUUUAAUUAAAUUGGUAUCGAAUGAAAAGUGAUGCACUCAUUAGUUUGAUUAAAUAUACCGCUGCCGUACUGCGUACUGUGCAUAGGCGCAGUUGCUAUGCGUCCGCACAGGUCUAUUCAUAAAUAAUAUCUCUUAAAAACUACUAAAACGGCAGAAAAACGUGUCCAAUCCAUCAUCCAAGCUUUUCAAGUUGAACGAUACUGAUCUUAUUUCGCCCUCAUCUCUAUACACACGCCGGCUAGGCCUCUGCCCACGUCAACAGUCAACACACAGCACGUUAACAACCUCAAUGUCCUAUAACGAAGGAGCGGCCGAAAAGGAACAUAAAAGAACGGGAACGAAAAACUUUAUCCGGUCAUUGCCAAGUUCCUUCACAAUGGCGAGUGGCGAAAUUUUCCGAUCGCUUUCGCCGCUUUUCUGGGUGUUACGUGUGACGGGCGGAACGCCAUUCUUUCACAGCGACUCGUUCGCCGGAAUGUUGGGCUUUCAAUGGUGUCAUCCGCAGACAUUCUGGUUCGCUUUCGUCACGCUCGUCCACUUGAGCUUCAUCUCGGCUCAAGUCUUUGGAGGUCUAUUUUCUUUGGGCGAUAAAUCAGACAACGAAAUUGACGAACCUGGCGCUCAUUUCGUCACCAAUCCAACGGCCCAAUUAACCAACUCGAUUUCCCAGGCGCGAUUUCUCGUCGACACGUUUGUGCUUUCCAAAUUUAUCCACUUCCAAUUGGCCAGUUUUCAGAUUUUCUUUGAGCAAAUGGACAGUGUUGAUCGCGCUGUGCCUGUGCUUUCCGUUGUUACACGUCGAACACGAAAAAUGAUCAUCUUUGCGUUUUCCAUUUAUUUAUUUUGGGACAUGAUUUUCUUAAUAUACGGAUUGGAUGGCAUAUUUCGAGAGCAUGGGAACGACUCUGCUUGGAUGUUUGCCGGCCGGAUAACAAUUAAUUUAAUGCAUAUUAUUGGCCAGUUGCACUCUAACAUGGCAAGUUAAUUUUUCAAUCAAAUUUUUUUUUGUAACUGAAGGUUCAAAAUUGCUUAAUUACCUUUACUUCCCAUUCAGUUGGUAAUUUUAUUUGCCAGUUUAUGCUACAUUAUCGGUCUUCGUUUCGCUGGUCUCAAGGAGAUAUUGCAACAGACAGUCGUUAUCGACGAAGGGAUAUUCCGCCAUUUAUGGAAUGAUAAUUUUAACUCCCAAAACGCAAGUCCGUCAAUCAACCAACCGUCGAUGCAAAACCGAGUCCUUCCCGACAACGAAUCUCUGCCCGAUGUCGGCCCGCCAAUUUCGAUAUUGGAUGGGUUACGUUUGCGACCUUUAUCUUCACGUUUAGUUUUCCUCAAAACGGUUUAUCUAACUUUGAGUGAGGCUGUGUUGGUUCACUUCAACCAAGUUUUCGGAUUGUCUCUAUUAUUCUACUUGAUUUCCAAAUUGAUUAGCGUUUCCAUCGGUUGCCAUAGCUUUAUUCAUCACAUCAUGAAUAAUGUUAAUCUUGGCUUAUUUUGGUGUCUUACCAACAUCCCGGAUAUAACGGCAAUGUUCAUCAUAUUCCAGUCUGCUGACUACGUUCGCAAUCAGGUAAAGAGUUUUUUCAGUUCAGUGGCCAGGAUUUCGACCCAAGAUGUCACGAAUGCAGAACGCAGUGAAAUACAGACUUUCAUUUUACAACUAAGAGGAGAGUCUAUUGAGUUAUCCGUUUGCGGACUUUUCAAACUGGGGAAGCAAUUACUGCCAGCGGUUGCCGGGACGAUAGCUACUUAUAUUUUGGUUCUGUUUCAGUUCAAUGCAUCCGAAGAUGUAAUCAAUGCUGACGUCAAAGGCUCGGUUAUUUGAAUAAAUAUUGGGUUGGCUGAUGGCAAACUUUCUUUAUCUUUAAUAUUUACAAUUCUUGCGAUAAAGUCGUUUCCGCUAACAAAUGUUGCAAAGCUUAGUGUGCGAAAACUAACGCAAAUUAAGGCUUUGCCGAGCUUUUCGCCACAUGAUAAAUGGACGAAGACCCUCUGUAGUCAUUAUUGCAAUAAAGAAAUGUAUUUGUCUGGCUCCUUUUUUCUGAUUAUCCUACUGAUGCUGGUCACUGAACUCUUACGAUCUCCGCUUUUUUGUUAUUUCCUAUUCGCUGCUUGUUGAUGCGAUGUAUGUCGUGUUUUCAUAGACGCUAAGCCCUUUUUGAUUUUCUAUUGGUAUUUAUCUGCAGUGACGUCAUUCCCAUCCGAAGGGACAUAAACAAAAACAAACGCCAACCCACCCAACAGCUAGACUGAGUUAUAUAAUUUUAUAUCCUCUUAUUAUUAUUAAUGGCUAGCGGCCGCUGAUUCUAGUAGUUGGCCACAAAUGUUGAUUCAUAAGACAAUUUUAUUAAACCUUUCUCGCCCCCAGUUAGUCUGAUACUAUAUUACUGCCCACGCAUUCAUUUACUGAUGGCGUAUGUGAUGGAAAAUGUCUUUUUACGUACGUUAAACUGAACCAAGUCUGCACGUCUUUCUCA
rnacentral:misc_RNA from 1 species